AGUUCGGAUUGUAGUCUGCAACUCGACUACAUGAAGCUGGAAUCGCUAGUAAUCGCGGAUCAGAAUGCCGCGGUGAAUACGUUCCCGGGUCUUGUACACACCGCCCGUCACACCAUGGGAGUCGGAAAUGCCCGAAGUCUGUGACCCAACCUUAGGGAGGGAGCAGCCGAAGGCAGGUCGGAUGACUGGGGUGAAGUCGUAACAAGGUACC
rnacentral:rRNA from 1 species